AUGAAUUGCUUAGCGUGGAACUGUCGGGGUGUGGCCAAUGACCCGACAGUUCGAGAUUUGGUUGGCUUGGUCACGGCCGCCAAUGCUAAGUUGGUCUUUUUGUGUGAAACUCGCCAGAAAGCUAAUAAAGUUCGUCGUCUUCGUGGGAGACUAGGAUUAGGAGGUUUUGCUGGUUGUGACAGUCAAGGCCUUAGUGGUGGCUUGGCACUUUUCUGGUGUGAUCAAAUUCAUGUUGAGAUUAAAGAAAUAAAGGAGAGAUAUAUUGAUGCUUAUAUUCGGUUGGCUGAUGAUGCGCCUUUAUGGCGUUUGACUUGUGUGUAUGGCGAACCCCGAGUUGAGAACCAGCAUCUUAUGUGGACUGUGCUGCAAAAUCUGAAAGCUCAAUCGGAUUUGCCUUGGUGUGUGUUGGGGGAUUUCAAUGAAGCUAUGUGGUCAUUCGAGCACUUUUCCGCGACUAGGAGAAGUGAAGCUCAGAUGUUGGUGUUGGGGAACGUUGCAGAAAAUUAA
rnacentral:rRNA from 1 species